rnacentral:rRNA from 1 species
GCGACGCCGCGUGAGGGAUGACGGCCUUUCGGGUUGUAAACCUCUUUCAGUAGGGAAGAAGCGAAAGUGACGGUACCUGCAGAAGAAGCACCGGCUAACUACGUGCCAGCAGCCGCGGUAAUACGUAGGGUGCGAGCGUUAUCCGGAAUUAUUGGGCGUAAAGAGCUCGUAGGCGGUUUGUCGCGUCUGUCGUGAAAGUCCGGGGCUUAACCCCGGAUCUGCGGUGGGUACGGGCAGACUAGAGUGCAGUAGGGGAGACUGGAAUUCCUGGUGUAGCGGUGGAAUGCGCAGAUAUCAGGAGGAACACCGAUGGCGAAGGCAGGUCUCUGGGCUGUAACUGACGCUGAGGAGCGAAAGCAUGGGGAGCGAACAGGAUUAGAUACCCUGGUAGUCCAUGCCGUAAACGUUGGGCACUAGGUGUGGGGACCAUUCCACGGUUUCCGCGCCGCAGCUAACGCAUUAAGUGCCCCGCCUGGGGAGUACGGCCGCAAGGCUAAAACUCAAAGGAAUUGACGGGGGCCCGCACAAGCGGCGGAGCAUGCGGAUUAAUUCGAUGCAACGCGAAGAACCUUACCAAGGCUUGACAUGUUCUCGAUCGCCGUAGAGAUACGGUUUCCCCUUUG